rnacentral:rRNA from 1 species
CCUACGGGGGGCAGCAGUGAGGAAUAUUGGUCAAUGGUCGGAAGACUGAACCAGCCAAGCCGCGUGAGGGACGAAGGUGCCGAGUAUUGUAAACUUCUUUUGUCAAGGGACAAAAUCGGGCUCGUGUCCCUGACUGAGGGUACUUGAAGAAAAAGCAUCGGCUAACUCCGUGCCAGCAGCCGCGGUAAUACGGAGGAUGCGAGCGUUAUCCGGAUUUAUUGGGUUUAAAGGGUGCGUAGGCGGGCUGUUAAGUCAGCGGUAAAAGCCCGGGGCUCAACCCCGGCCAGCCGUUGAAACUGGCUGUCUUGAGAUGGAGAGAGGUAUGCGGAAUGCGCGGUGUAGCGGUGAAAUGCAUAGAUAUUGCGCAGAACUCCGAUUGCGAAGGCAGCAUACCGGCGGCGAACUGACGCUGAGGCACGAAAGCGUGGGUAUCGAACAGGAUUAGAUACCCGAGUAGUC